rnacentral:rRNA from 1 species
AUGAAAAUUAUUGGCUGGAACUGCCGGGGGCUCGGGAAUGGCCCGGCAGUUCGUAGCCUCCUCGAGUUGGGGAGGAUGGAGGAGCCCGAUGUGUUGUUUUUGGCGGAGACAAAGAUGUCGGAUAAGGAGUUGGAGAGGUUUCGGUGGACGUUGGGCCUGUCACAUAUGGCAGCCUGGAGUGCAGAAGGAAGGAGUAGAGGUGUGGCUCUGUUCUGGAGGCGAGAGGUGGAUGUAACACUACGAUCCUUUGGUAGGAGACACGUGGAUGUGGAC